UUUCGCAAUGCCCGAAAGGGUGACGAAGCGACGCCGCGUGCGGGAAGAAGGCCUUCGGGUUGUAAACCGCUGUCGGGAGUUAAGAAAUGUAAGGAUGUUAAUAGCAUCUUUGCUUGACUAAGGCUCCGGAGGAAGCCACGGCUAACUCUGUGCCAGCAGCCGCGGUAAUACAGAGGCGGCAAGCGUUGUUCGGAAUUAUUGGGCGUAAAGAGCACGUAGGCGGCUAUGUAAGUCGGUUGUGAAAGCCUUCCGCUCAACGGGAGAACAGCGUCCGAUACUGCAUGGCUUGAGUGCGGGAGGGGAGAGUGGAACUUCUGGUGGAGCGGUGAAAUGCGUAGAUAUCAGAGGGAACGCCGGCGGCGAAAGCGGCUCUCUGGCCCAUAACUGACGCUGAGUGUGCGAAGGCUAGGGGAGCAAACGGGAUUAGAUACCCCGGUAGUCCUAGCCGUAAACGAUGGGCACUAAGUAGAGGGGUUUUA
rnacentral:rRNA from 1 species